rnacentral:lncRNA from 1 species
AGGACACAGACACACACAGAGGGAAGACCAUGGGAAGACACAGAGGGAAGAUGGCCAUGGAAAAGCUAGAGAGAGAGAGUUCUCAGAAGAAGUAACUCUGCCAACACCUUGAUCUCAGAUUUCUAGCCUCCAAAGACAAUGUCAAGAGAAUGAGAAGACAAGCCUCAGAAUGAGAAGAAACAUUUGUAAAAGAUACAUCUAAUAAAGCAGUUUUAUCCAAAAUAUAUAAUACAAAGAUCUCUUGAGACUCAACAUUAAGGAAGCAAACAACCAGAAUAAAAAAUGAGCUCCAGAUACUAACAGCCACCUCAUCAAAGACAAUACACAGAUAACAAAUUACCAUAUGAAAAUGUGGUCUCUAUCAUAUGUCAUCAUGGAAAUUCAAAUUAAAGCCACAGUGAGAUACCACUACACACCUAUAAGAAUAGCCAAAAUCCAGAAUACAGACAACACCAUACGCUAAUGAGGAUUAGGAGCAACAGGAACUCGUAUUCAUGCUGGUGGGAAUGCAGCAAGGAACAUUUCCCUCUCUGGAUACAUGUGUUUCAGAUCACAAAGCCAUAGAUGAGAGGAGUCUCUCUUUCUAAAUCACUUUUUGAAGAACACCUACUCAAGAGAGUCACCUGACCCCGUUGGAAUAUAAGAUGUGUGGGAAAUCUACCUUAUUGCAUUAAACUACUCAGAUUUUUGUGUGGUUGGUUAAA